GAUCAAUGAUGAAAAUAGCAAAUCAGCAUCAGAAGAACUUCCAGUGUUCUUGAUGCGUGGUCUCUACAGUUCUGAGA
rnacentral:snoRNA from 1 species